rnacentral:rRNA from 1 species
CCUACGGGAGGCAGCAGUGGGGGAUAUUGCACAAUGGGGGGAACCCUGAUGCAGCGACGCCGCGUGGGUGAAGAAGCGCCUCGGCGCGUAAAGCCCUGUCAGCCGGGAAGAAAAUGACGGUCACUGAAGCAGAAGCCCCGGCUAACUACGUGCCAGCAGCCGCGGUAAUACGUAGGGGGCAAGCGUAAACCGGAUGUACUGGGUGUAAAGGGGGCGCAGACGGCGAUGCAAGCCAGGAGUGAAAGCCCGGGGCCCAACCCCGGGACUGCUCUUGGAACUGCGUGGCUGGAGUGCAGGAGGGGCAGGAGGAAUGCCUGGUGUAGCGGUGAAAUGCGUAGAUAUCAGGAGGAACACCGGUGGCGAAGGCGGCCUGCUGGACUGCAACUGACGUUGAGGCCCGAAAGCGUGGGGAGCAAACAGGAUUAGAUACCCCUGUAGUC